rnacentral:rRNA from 1 species
UAGAGUUUGAUCAUGGCUCAGAUUGAACGCUGGCGGCAGGCCUAACACAUGCAAGUCGAACGGUAACAGGAAGCAGCUUGCUGCUUCGCUGACGAGUGGCGGACGGGUGAGUAAUGUCUGGGAAACUGCCUGAUGGAGGGGGAUAACUACUGGAAACGGUGGCUAAUACCGCAUAACGUCGCAAGACCAAAGAGGGGGACCUUCGGGCCUCUUGCCAUCAGAUGUGCCCAGAUGGGAUUAGCUUGUUGGUGAGGUAACGGCUCACCAAGGCGACGAUCCCUAGCUGGUCUGAGAGGAUGACCAGCCACACUGGAACUGAGACACGGUCCAGACUCCUACGGGAGGCAGCAGUGGGGAAUAUUGCACAAUGGGCGCAAGCCUGAUGCAGCCAUGCCGCGUGUAUGAAGAAGGCCUUCGGGUUGUAAAGUACUUUCAGCGGGGAGGAAGGUGUUGUGGUUAAUAACCGCAGCAAUUGACGUUACCCGCAGAAGAAGCACCGGCUAACUCCGUGCCAGCAGCCGCGGUAAUACGGAGGGUGCAAGCGUUAAUCGGAAUUACUGGGCGUAAAGCGCACGCAGGCGGUCUGUCAAGUCGGAUGUGAAAUCCCCGGGCUCAACCUGGGAACUGCAUUCGAAACUGGCAGGCUUGAGUCUUGUAGAGGGGGGUAGAAUUCCAGGUGUAGCGGUGAAAUGCGUAGAGAUCUGGAGGAAUACCGGUGGCGAAGGCGGCCCCCUGGACAAAGACUGACGCUCAGGUGCGAAAGCGUGGGGAGCAAACAGGAUUAGAUACCCUGGUAGUCCACGCCGUAAACGAUGUCUACUUGGAGGUUGUGCCCUUGAGGCGUGGCUUCCGGAGCUAACGCGUUAAGUAGACCGCCUGGGGAGUACGGCCGCAAGGUUAAAACUCAAAUGAAUUGACGGGGGCCCGCACAAGCGGUGGAGCAUGUGGUUUAAUUCGAUGCAACGCGAAGAACCUUACCUGGUCUUGACAUCCACAGAACUUUCCAGAGAUGGAUUGGUGCCUUCGGGAACUGUGAGACAGGUGCUGCAUGGCUGUCGUCAGCUCGUGUUGUGAAAUGUUGGGUUAAGUCCCGCAACGAGCGCAACCCUUAUCCUUUGUUGCCAGCGAUUAGGUCGGGAACUCAAAGGAGACUGCCAGUGAUAAACUGGAGGAAGGUGGGGAUGACGUCAAGUCAUCAUGGCCCUUACGACCAGGGCUACACACGUGCUACAAUGGCGCAUACAAAGAGAAGCGACCUCGCGAGAGCAAGCGGACCUCAUAAAGUGCGUCGUAGUCCGGAUUGGAGUCUGCAACUCGACUCCAUGAAGUCGGAAUCGCUAGUAAUCGUGGAUCAGAAUGCCACGGUGAAUACGUUCCCGGGCCUUGUACACACCGCCCGUCACACCAUGGGAGUGGGUUGCAAAAGAAGUAGGUAGCUUAACCUUCGGGAGGGCGCUUACCACUUUGUGAUUCAUGACUGGGGUGAAGUCGUAACAAGGUAACCGUAGGGGAACCUGCGGUUGGAUCACCUCCUUACCUUAAAGAAGC